AUGGAUAGGAACUCAUACACCAUAAAAUCUAAGUGUCAUAAGAUUCCCUCCUUCAUGAAAAUGACUGUGAGGAAAUACUUUCACUAAGAGAGGUUUUAAGAAGAUAGCAACUGUGAAAAUUGUAUUCUCACAUUCGAUUAUCAAGAGAGGUUUUAAGAAGAUAGCAACUGUGAAAAUUGUAUUCUCACAUUCGAUUAUGGUUACGGCAUCCCUUUCCAUAGUUCUAAUUGUGAGAUUUGGCAAUUAGUUUGAACAUUUGGAACUUAGUAACAUAAAUUCUAAAUUGUUUAAACACACAUAUGAGCUAUCUAAGGCAAAGGUGUAGGCUUAUCGAAGCAUUUGGUAUUAGAAAUAUGAAUUUCAGAUAUUCAAUAGGCAUUGUUUUCUGAAACUUCAUUUGUUCUCUGAAUACAUGUCAAAGCUAGUGGGAGCAUAAGUGUUAUGCUUAUAUGAUAGUAAUCAUCAUGAUAGUGGGAGCAUAAGUGUUAUGAUUGUAUGAUUAUUAUGGCGAGUAUUGCAAGUUAGCAAUAUUAAUUAUAGAAAAACAAAGAUUCAAAUUUGCAAAGUUGCAUGGGUUGAAAAGUUGUUUUGCUAUAAUUAAGGGAGAGAAUAUUAUACUUCGUUUCAAAAUCUAAAGCUUAGAUUAAGAAAUUUUAAUAUUUUCAGUCAAAGGGUACAUUGUGUGUUCUUAAAAUUCGAUUAUGAUUACGGCAUCCCUCUUCAUAGUUCGAAUUGUGAGAACAUGACACAUAAAAUAUUAUGGCAAAAGAUUGGUAAAGUAUCAUAUCUUUAUGUGAGACAUUAUGCAUCGUGUCCCAUACGCUUCGGGUAUAGGAUCGAUUGCAAAUGCUAUAAUAUUUUACCAUUCUAAAAUUUUCCAAAUGUCUAGCGCAUUAAGAGGGAAAAAG
rnacentral:lncRNA from 1 species